GGGCGGGGCCGCCCGGCGAGCCCCCGGAGGCGGGCCCGGGGCCAAAGACCUGCGCGGACCGCCGAAGAGCCGGCCUGUGCAAGCGGCCGCCCGCUCGCCGCCUCUGCCGGGGAUUCGAGUCGAGUCACGCCGGGGGCCGGCGGCUUCCAGCCGCGUCCCACCGCCCGCUUCCGCCUGCUUCCUUUUCCCCGCUGUCCGCCCCGAGGUGCCGCUUGCUGGCUGGUGCCGUGUCUGCUCCCCGCGGGGUGGGGACGCCCCGUUGCCGGCCUGUGCAAGCGGCCGCCCGCUCGCCGCCUCUGCCGGCGACUCGAGUCGAGUCACUAUGACUCUUAACAGAGAUGAUAACGGGAUUGAUAAGAGCCAGGAAAAGACUGCCACACCCCCACCCACCCAGGAAGAAGCAGCAGUUUUAUCAGAGCCAGAGGAAACCACUAUUCAACCACCAAACAAUGGGGAAUCAGAAGACUGCCCUGUCAUAUCAGUUCCAGAUGAGAAUCCACCCUGCCCGUGCUGCGGUAUUAAAACGAAUAAAAUGCCUGGAUUAAUUGAACAUUUACUCAGAGCACAUGGAAUUAGAGAAUGCAAAUUUAAAUGCACCAAAUGUGAUUUGGAAAAUACAAAUUUUCACAGCAUUGCCUGCCACUAUCCAAAAUGCAAAGGUAAAAUAAAAAAAACAUCCCCAGGAAAAUGGCCCUGCAAUGUAUGCCAGAUGAGUUUUCAAACUAAAAUUGGACUGGGACAACAUAAAAGAAUUGCACAUCCAGCAGUCAGAAACCAGGAGAGGCUAGAAGCCAUGAGACCAAAAGAAACAUCAGCAAGAGGAGCCCACAAGAAAUGCUGGAGUGAAGAGGAGGAAAAUCUGCUAAUCCAACUAAUAAAACAAUAUGAGGGUAAUAAAAACAUUAAUAAACUGAUUGCUGAACACAUCCCAUCCAAAACUGCAAAACAAAUCAGUGACAAGAGAUGCUAUCUGAUGUUAAAACAACAAGCCUCAAUUGGAUUACAAACUAACAGAAAAACAGAAGAGCAGCCACAGGAAAAAAUUCAAAAGCCAUCAAAGCGUAAAGAAACCAAAAUAAAGCAGUUGAAAAAACACUAGGAAGAUAUUAUCCCAUCAAAGAUCAGUGAUGGCACCUUCAUUUUGUAUCAGGAAGCCUUCCAAGAAAUUCUCAAAAAGAAAAAUAAGAAUCCCACCCACACCAUUAGUGAAAUAACCAAAGACUGCAUGAAGGUAUUUAAAGAGAUGCACAGCUGGGAAAAGAACACGGCCUCGUCCGUGGGGCUGUGCCUGGCUGUGCUGCUGGAGCUCCACAGGGACCUGAUCUGCAAGGCAUUCUCCAUUUAUUUCAAGACUGUUCUUUUAUCAUUUUUCUGUAGUGUAUAAAUAAAAGAUGUGUUCUAAUAAACAGA